rnacentral:rRNA from 1 species
UACAGGGGGUGCAAACGUUGCUCGGAAUCAUUGGGCGUAAAGCGCACGUAGGCGGUUCGUUAUGUCGGAUGUGAAAGCCCUUGGCUUAACCGAGGAAGUGCAUACCGAAACUGGCGAGCUAGAGUACUAAAGAGGAUCGCGGAAUUCCCGGUGUAGAGGUGAAAUUCGUAGAUAUCGGGAGGAACACCGGUGGCGAAGGCGGCGAUCUGGGUAGAUACUGACGCUGAGGUGCGAAAGCGUGGGGAGCAAACAGG